rnacentral:SRP_RNA from 1 species
GCCGGGCGCUGUGGCAUGUGCCUAUAGUAUCAGGUACUUGGGAGGCUGAGGCUGGAGGAUCCCUUGAGUCCAGGAGUUCUGGGCUGUAGUGCUCUGUGCUGAUCAGGUGUCUGCACUAAGUUCAGCAUCAAUAUGGUGACCUCUCCAGAGCGGGGGACCACCAGCUUGCCUAACUGAGGGGUAAACUGGCCCAGGUUGGAAACGGGGCAGGUCAAAACUUCUGUGCUGAUCAGUAGUGGGAUCAUGCCUAUGAAUAGCCACUGCACUCCAGCCUGGGCAACAUAGUGAGACCCCGUCUCU